UCUCUCUCCAAUGGCGUCCAGUACGCCCGGUCUCCCUACGCCGUCGUUUCUGCGCUUAUUCGCCGGAGCGGGAGCUUCGAAUCGGCCCUGUAGAGAUGGAGAGAUCUGGUAGAGGCGGUGCCGAUUUUCGGGAAUUGCUUCGGAGAUCCUCAGGAGCUUUUGCUUGGUUCCAAUGGCCACCGUUCUAGGACAGUUGAUCUAGGAGAUUGUCAAGAAAACAACUCCUUGGUCAAGCAGUUCGGCUGGAGCCAAGCCGGCGUCCGUCGGUCCGUUUCAACAAGGAGCCUAACAACCUCUACAACCUCCACUCCUAAAAGCAUUCCGGUUUGGCAAACAAGAAGACUGUUGAGUAUUCAGGCUGCAGGCAAAGACCAGUCUGUGGUGCUCGCCACCACCAAGACCAGGAAGCAGAACAAGCCAACCAGUUUGGUUCACAAGUAUGUGAUGAGGAAGGAUUUUCGUCUCACGGCCAAGGCUGUCACAAACCAGGUACCGAAUACUCCAUUCACUGUUCUGUGGAAUUAAAUGAAUGAUAAUAACAAUGAUGUAUGUGAUGCGUUUAGUUUUCUAAUGUAAAUGUGGUGUGGUACUCCGGUUGCCUUGAGUGUGUUGACCAUUUGGUAGUUCCGACUAUUUUGCACCUUACUAGCAGUGAUGAGCAGCUAACAUAUAAGAAGAUCUCACUUUGUGGGAGGUUUUCAAUGAAAUUUAUUUGUUACGCUUGGCUUCUGAGCAGACAUUUAGGUAUAAUGAUUAUGAUGCAAGGGAUGAUAUAAUUAAGGGAAGCGUUAGGGAAUUUGGAGUUGGAAAAAAAAAAUCAUAUCUUGUUGCUAUAGGGUCCAGCUGAUUUAACUA